rnacentral:misc_RNA from 1 species
GUGGGAGCUGGCUUGCCUGCGAUGGCGGUGUGCCAGUCACCAUUGUAUUAACUGACCCACCGCCAUCGCAGGCAAGCCAGCUCCCAC